UGGGGAAUAUUGGACAAUGGGCGAAAGCCUGAUCCAGCCAUGCCGCGUGUGUGAAGAAGGUCUUCGGAUUGUAAAGCACUUUAAGUUGGGAGGAAGGGCAGUUACCUAAUACGUUAGUGUUUUGACGUUACCGACAGAAUAAGCACCGGCUAACUCUGUGCCAGCAGCCGCGGUAAUACAGAGGGUGCAAGCGUUAAUGGGAAUUACUGGGCGUAAAGCGCGCGUAGGUGGUUUGUUAAGUUGGAUGUGAAAUCCCCGGGCUCAACCUGGGAACUGCAUUCAAAACUGACUGACUAGAGUAUGGUAGAGGGUGGUGGAAUUUCCUGUGUAGCGGUGAAAUGCGUAGAUAUAGGAAGGAACACCAGUGGCGAAGGCGACCACCUGGACUAAUACUGACACUGAGGUGCGAAAGCGUGGGGAGCAAACA
rnacentral:rRNA from 1 species